UACGUAGGGGGCAAGCGUUGUCCGGAAUCAUUGGGCGUAAAGAGCGUGUAGGCGGUUCGGUAAGUCGGCUGUGAAAGUCCAGGGCUCAACCCUGGGAUGCCGGUCGAUACUGCCGGACUAGAGUUCGGAAGAGGCGAGUGGAAUUCCCGGUGUAGUGGUGAAAUGCGUAGAUAUCGGGAGGAACACCAGUGGCGAAGGCGACUACCUGGCCUGUUCUUGACGCUGAGGCGCGAAAGCUAGGGGAGCAAACGGG
rnacentral:rRNA from 1 species